rnacentral:rRNA from 1 species
AUUGAACGCUGGCGGCAGGCCUAACACAUGCAAGUCGAGCGGAUGAAGGGAGCUUGCUCCUGGAUUCAGCGGCGGACGGGUGAGUAAUGCCUAGGAAUCUGCCUGGUAGUGGGGGAUAACGUCCGGAAACGGGCGCUAAUACCGCAUACGUCCUGAGGGAGAAAGUGGGGGAUCUUCGGACCUCACGCUAUCAUAUGAGCCUAGGUCGUAUUAGAUAGUUGGUGGGGUAAAGGCCUACCAAGGCGACGAUCCGUAACUGGUCUGAGAGGAUGAUCAGUCACACUGGAACUGAGACACGGUCCAGACUCCUACGGGAGGCAGCAGUGGGGAAUAUUGGACAAUGGGCGAAAGCAUGAUCCAGCCAUGCCGCGUGUGUGAAGAAGGUCUUCGGAUUGUAAAGCACUUUAAGUUGGGAGGAAGGGCAGUAAGUUAAUACCUUGCUGUUUUGACGUUACCAACAGAAUAAGCACCGGCUAACUUCGUG